UACGUAGGGGGCAAGCGUUGUCCGGAAUCAUUGGGCGUAAAGAGCGUGUAGGCGGCUCGGUAAGUCCGCUGUGAAAGUCCAGGGCUCAACCCUGGAAUGCCGGUGGAAACUGUCGAGCUAGAGUCCGGAAGAGGCGAGUGGAAUUCCUGGUGUAGCGGUGAAAUGCGCAGAUAUCAGGAGGAACACCGGUGGCGAAGGCGGCUCACUGGCUCAUUACUGACGCUCAGGCGCGAUAGCGUGGGGAUCAAACAGG
rnacentral:rRNA from 1 species